rnacentral:rRNA from 1 species
AAACUAACAAGGAUUCCCCUAGUAACGGCGAGUGAACCGGGAAAAGCUCAAAUUUGAAAUCUGGCGUGCUCAGUGCGUCCGAGUUGUAAUCUAUAGAGGUGUUUUCCGUGCCGGACCGUGUCCAAGUCCCUUGGAACAGGGUAUCAAAGAGGGUGACAAUCCCGUACUUGACACGACGACCGGUGCUCUGUGAUACAUCUUCUACGAGUCGAGUUGUUUGGGAAUGCAGCUCAAAAUGGGUGGUGAGUUCCAUCUAAAGCUAAAUAUUGGCGAGAGACCGAUAGCGAACAAGUACCGUGAGGGAAAGAUGAAAAGCACUUUGGAAAGAGAGUUAAACAGUACGUGAAAUUGUUAAAAGGGAAACGAUUGAAGUCAGUCGUGACCGAGAGGCUCAGCCGGCUCUGCCGGUGUAUUCCCCUCGGUCGGGUCAACAUCAGUUUUGUCCGGUGGAUAAGGGCGGUAGGAAGGUGGCACCCUCGGGUGUGUUAUAGCCUGCCGUCGCAUACAUCGGGUGAGACUGAGGAAUGCAGCUCGCCUUUAUGGCCGGGGUUCGCCCACGUCCGAGCUUAGGAUGUUGACAUAAUGGCUUUAAACGAC